AGUGAACGCUGGCGGUAGGCCUAACACAUGCAAGUCGAACGGCAGCACAGUAAGAGCUUGCUCUUACGGGUGGCGAGUGGCGGACGGGUGAGGAAUACAUCGGAAUCUACUUUUUCGUGGGGGAUAACGUAGGGAAACUUACGCUAAUACCGCAUACGACCUACGGGUGAAAGCAGGGGAUCUUCGUACCUUGCGCGAUUGAAUGAGCCGAUGUCGGAUUAGCUAGUUGGCGGGGUAAAGGCCCACCAAGGCGACGAUCCGUAGCUGGUCUGAGAGGAUGAUCAGCCACACUGGAAUUGAGACAAGGUCCAGACUCCUACGGGAGGCAGCAGUGGGGAAUAUUGGACAAUGGGCGCAAGCCUGAUCAAGACAUACCGCGUGGGUGAAGAAGGCCUUCGGGUUGUAAAGCCUUUUUGUUGGGAAAGAAAAGCAGCAGGUUAAUACCCCGCUGUUCUGACGGUACCCAAAGAAUAAGCACCGGCUAACUUCGUG
rnacentral:rRNA from 1 species